AGACGCUGACGAAUAGAUCACUGAAGCACAUUUAUUGUCUUCAUUUGGUUUUGCACCGAAACACAUGAAGACGACUGAACAGAAGCAGGAACAAAGGCAUGUAAUGCAAAAAGUUUCUGCUGCUGUCAACUGAAAUCUGCAUGUCAUCAAAAACAACAAUUUAGAAAUCAGUGCCAACAGUUGUUUAUUAAGCAGGUAUCAGGUGAAACCACUGCAUUUUCAUGGCAACAAUCACAUAAGUCAUUUCCAUAAGAAUAAAAGCAGAGAAAGUCUAUCAGCUGGUUUGUCAUAAAUCAGGGAUCUGUUUAGAAGAGCAGUAGCUGAGCUGUUAACUUAGCUGAGAAAGUACUUGAUUAAUUAAACAGCAUGUUCAACUGUAUUAAUUCACAAUUAGAUGCAUAUCAAAAAAGCUUUGAGCUGCUGGUCACUAAGAGCAGACAACAGAUGAAAAGGUUAAAAUUCAUAAUGGUUUUAGUAUUGUAAGCUGUCUAUGAUUACACUAUAAAAAUGAGGCCUAAAAUACAUUUCCUUGAAUCUCUUCUCUGUGUCUGACAUUGCAUCUCAUCAGAGAGUAGACUUAUAACAAACCAUCCCUCCAUCACAGCACCUUCAUUUGUCUGGUGCAACAGAAACCUUCAAUGCACUAAACACCUGUUGCAGAUACCGUGCUCAGAAAUGUGUGGUAUAUGCUGUAUGCCAGCUCCACUGUCCUUCAUGUAAACACAGAAAACUUGGAAAACAAGAAGUCUUCUGGCACACAUCUACUUCCAUUUCAGUCCAGUUCCAAAAUACUCCAUUUUUAAAUGGAGCCUAACGUCCUCUUCAGCGAUGUCGUCCACAUUACUUAUUACCUGCCCCGACAGGGUUGAUAGGCAUGUUUUUCUAAGAGCUCUGGACUUCUAACUAAUUCUACAUUGACAUAUCAGGGAGGUGUAAGGAUAAACUUAAAACUGCCUUUUAAUUUGAAAGACUUGGCUAAAAGUCACUCUACAAUGGGGUAGCUGGCAAUAGUUGUUUUCUACAUUCAGCUUGAGUUAGAUUAAAAGCCUUUACAAAAAUUUAUUCUUGAAAAUAUCAAUGUAAUUUG